AUGAUGAUCGGCGCAAUGUUCAAUCUGGGAAGUUGAACAUGUGCCGCAAAUGAGAGCGAUUUCUGGUACAAGGUCGGGGAAAGGUGGAUUGCAUUUACUUCAAUCAUGCUUUCAUGUCAUGAGAAAGCGGGAGCUGGACUAGAAGAUUACGAGGCAGUGGUCAGCUUAAAGCAACCAGGUCAUGAGGGCCUUUAUAAGUGCAGUGUAUGGAUCCAUGAGUUCAUCGGUGCAAUGCAGAAUGAACAAUAAAGCGUGUGCAUGUUUAACUGGGUGUAAGAAUUAAAGUCCAUCGUAAUCCCAACACACAGUGAGCCCGCAGACGUCGUUGGUACCUCCCAUCGUCUAGCUUCAGUGCUCUCUUGUAAGCAACACUGUUAGGCAGAUAGAAUCUUCAGAUGCCAUUGGUACCUUACAUUGUCUAUCUCCUGGAAUUUCUUACAAGCAGCCCUAUUAGGCAGAUAGAAUCUUCAGAUGCCAUUGGUACCUUACAUUGUCUAUCUCCUGGAAUUUCUUACAAGCAGCCCUAUUAGGCAGAUAGAAUCUUCAGAUGCCAUUGGUACCUUACAUUGUCUAUCUCCUGGAAUUUCUUACAAGCAGCCCUAUUAGGCAGAUAGAAUCUUCAGAUGCCAUUGGUACCUUACAUUGUCUAUCUCCUGGAAUUUCUUACAAGCAGCCCUAUUAGGCAGAUAGAAUCUUCAGAUGCCAUUGGUACCUUACAUUGUCUAUCUCCUGGAAUUUCUUACAAGCAGCCCUAUUAGGCAGAUAGAAUCUUCAGAUGCCAUUGGUACCUUACAUUGUCUAUCUCCUGGAAUUUCUUACAAGCAGCCCUAUUAGGCAGAUAGAAUCUUCAGAUGCCAUUGGUACCUUACAUUGUCUAUCUCCUGGAAUUUCUUACAAGCAGCCCUAUUAGGCAGAUAGAAUCUUCAGAUGCCAUUGGUACCUUACAUUGUCUAUCUCCUGGAAUUUCUUACAAGCAGCCCUAUUAGGCAGAUAGAAUCUUCAGAUGCCAUUGGUACCUUACAUUGUCUAUCUCCUGGAAUUUCUUACAAGCAGCCCUAUUAGGCAGAUAGAAUCUUCAGAUGCCAUUGGUACCUUACAUUGUCUAUCUCCUGGAAUUUCUUACAAGCAGCCCUAUUAGGCAGAUAGAAUCUUCAGAUGCCAUUGGUACCUUACAUUGUCUAUCUCCUGGAAUUUCUUACAAGCAGCCCUAUUAGGCAGAUAGAAUCUUCAGAUGCCAUUGGUACCUUACAUUGUCUAUCUCCUGGAAUUUCUUACAAGCAGCCCUAUUAGGCAGAUAGAAUCUUCAGAUGCCAUUGGUACCUUACAUUGUCUAUCUCCUGGAAUUUCUUACAAGCAGCCCUAUUAGGCAGAUAGAAUCUUCAGAUGCCAUUGGUACCUUACAUUGUCUAUCUUCUGGAAUUUCUUACAAGCAGCCCUAUUAGGCAGAUAGAAUCUUCAGAUGCCAUUGGUACCUUACAUUGUCUAUCUUCUGGAAUUUCUUACA